rnacentral:rRNA from 1 species
UACGAAGGGGGCUAGCGUUGUUCGGAAUCACUGGGCGUAAAGCGCACGCAGGCGGAUUGAUAAGUCAGGGGUGAAAUCCCGAGGCUCAACCUCGGAAUUGCCUUUGAUACUGUCUAUCUUCGAGUUCGGGAGAGGUUGGCGGAAUUCCUAGUGUAGAGGCGAAAUUCGUAGAUAUUAGGAAGAACACCAGUGGCGAAGGCGGCCAACUGGCCCGAUACUGACGCUCAUGUGCGAAAGCGUGGGGAGCAAACAGG